CCACAUAAAGACAGUUACAAAGUUGGCCUUCUGUCACCUGAAGGACUUUGAUUUAAAGCAGAACUCACAAAAUACUCAAAGAGGAUCCGUCACAGGAAUCAGGUAAAAUAUCCAUACACCAUUUAAUUUGAUAAAAAAUAAAUAAAUAUCCAACCACUCAAUAUGAAAUUAGUUGAUUUUUAGCAACAAUAAUUUAUU